rnacentral:rRNA from 1 species
CCUACGGGGGGCUGCAGUCGAGAAUUUUUGGCAAUGGGCGAAAGCCUGACCAAGCGAUGCCGCGUGCGGGAUGAAGGCCUUCGGGUUGUAAACCGCUGUCAGUGGGGAGGAAAGCUUUGUGAAGAGCAAGGCUUGACCUAUCCGCAGAGGAAGUGUGGGCUAAGUUCGUGCCAGCAGCCGCGGUAAGACGAACCACACAAAGGAUUUUCGGAACUACUGGGGUGCGUAGGUGCGUCAGCUGCGCCGUUGGGAAAUACCUCGGCUCAACCGAGGAACUGCGCCCAAAACUACUGUGCUUGAGGAAGAUAGAGGUAAGCGGAACUUACGGUGGAGCGGUGAAAUGCGUUGAUAUCGUAAGGAACACCUGUGGCGAAAGCGGCUUACUGGGUCUUUUCUGACGCUGAUGCACGAAAGCUAGGGGAGCAAACGGGAUUAGAUACCCCGGUAGUC